GGUGAACGCUGGCGGCGUGCUUAAGACAUGAAAGUCGAACGGCAGUCUUCGGACUGUAGUGGCGCACGGGUGAGUAACGCGUAACUGACCUACCCCAAAGUCGCGGAUAACGAUUCGAAAGAAUCGCUAAUACGUGAUGUGCUGUCAGAUUGUGUUCUGCCAGUAAAGAUUGAUUGCUUUGGGAGGGGGUUGCGUGCCAUCAGCUAGUUGGUGGGGUAAAGGCCCACCAAGGCGACGACGGAUAGCCGGCCUGAGAGGGUGGCCGGCGACAGGGGCACUGAGACACGGGUCACACUGCUACGGGAGGCAGCAGUUAGGAAUCUUCCACAAUGGGCGAAAGCCUGAUGGAGCGACGCCGCGUGAGGGAGGAAGGUCUUCGGAUCGUAAACCUCUGAAUCAGGGACGAAAGACACUUCGGUGGGAUGACGGUACCUGAGUAAUAGCACCGGCUAACUCCGUGCCAGCCGCCGCUGUAAAAC
rnacentral:rRNA from 1 species